UAGUGGCAGACGGGUGAGUAACACGUGGGUAACCUACCUUCAAGCUGGGGAUAACAGUUGGAAACGACUGAUAAUACCGAAUAAGAUAUAGCAAUAUAUUGAAAGGAGCCUUUAAAGCUCCACUUAAAGAUGGGCCUGCGGCGUAUUAACUAGUUGGUGAGGUAAUGGCUCACCAAGGUGACGAUGCGUAGCCGAACUGAGAGGUUGAUCGGCCACACUGGGACUGAGACACGGCCCAGACUCCUACGGGAGACAGCAGUUAGGAAUAUUCGUCAAUGGGGGAAACCCUGAACGAGCAAUGCCGCGUGAGUGAUGAAGGCCCUAUGGGUUGUAAAACUCUGUUGUAUGGGAAGAACGGCUAUAUUAGGAAAUGAAUAUAGAGUGACGGUACCAUACCAGAAAGCUCCGGCUAACUACGUGCCAGCAGCCGCGGUAAUACGUAGGGAGCGAGCGUUAUCCGGAUUUAUUGGGCGUAAAGCGUGCGUAGGCGGUUUAUUAAGUUUAAGAUAAAAGCCCGGGGCUCAACUCCGGUUCGUCUUAAAAACUGGUAGACUUGAGUGUGGUAGAGGUAAAUGGAAUUUCUAGUGUAGCGGUGAAAUGCGUAGAUAUUAGAAGGAACACCAGUGGCGAAGGCGAUUUACUGGGCCAUAACUGACGCUGAGGCACGAAAGCGUGGGGAGCAAAUAGGAUUAGAUACCCUAGUAGUCCACGCCGUAAACGAUGAGUACUAAGUGUUGGAGAUUCCAGUGCUGAAGCUAACGUAUUAAGUACUCCGCCUGAGUAGUACGGUCGCAAGGCUGAAACUCAAAGGAAUUGACGGGCACCCGCACAAGCGGUGGAGCAUGCUGUUUAAUUCGAAGAUACGCGAAGAACCUUACCUAGACUUGACAUCCCCGGCAAAGACAUGGAAACAUGUUGGAGGUUACCCGGGAGACAGGUGGUGCAUGGUUGUCGUCAGCUCGUGUCGUGAGAUGUUCGGUUAAGUUCGCUAACGAGCGCAACCCUUAUCCUUAGUUGCUAACAGUAAGAUGAGAACCCUAAGGAGACUGCCGGUGAUAAGCCGGAGGAAGGUGGGGAUGACGUCAAAUCAUCAUGCCCCUUACGUCUAGGGCUACAGGCGUGCUAUAAUGGCCAAUAUAAAGAGAAGCAAUACCGUGAGGUGGAGCAAAACUCCAAAGUUGGUCUCAGUUCGGAUUGAAGUCUGCAACUCGACUUCAUGAAGUUAGAAUCGCUAGUAAUCCUGAAUCAGAAUGUCAGGGUGAAUACGUUCCCGGGCCUUGUACUCACCGCCCGUCA
rnacentral:rRNA from 1 species